rnacentral:pre_miRNA from 1 species
UCUUAUGGAUGAGCAAAGAAAGUGGUUUCUUGAGAUGGAAUGUACUCCUAGCGAAGAUGCUAUGAA